AAAAAAAGGCAAAUUCACUAAUGGAGUACCAGGCAUUGAAUCAAUAAUGGUAUUCGCCCCUGGGUAAAACUUUAACGAUAUAGAUAUGCUUCCCAAAUUAUUAAUAAAUAUUUGUGGCAUUCUAAAGGUAGAAUAAUAAACUAAACAAAUAAAUAUUCAUAUUAAGUCAACCAUUGAGUUUUUAACUAUACGAGUCAUGUGAAAACAAAGUAGCAACCUUGUCUGUUGCAUACGUAUGAACAUAGAUAUGCUUCCCAAAUUUUUAAUAGAUAUUUGUGGCAUUAUAAAGGAAGAAUAAUAAACUAAACAAACAAAUAUUCAUAUCAACUCAACCAUUGAGUUUUUAACUAUACGAGUCAUGUGAAACAAAGUAGCAACCUUGUCUGUUGCAUAUGUAUCACUGAAGAACAAUAGGUACAUAUACCUAACAUAGAUAAGCUGACAGACCAUUUAAAGUUUCUUCAUGCCAAACUCU
rnacentral:lncRNA from 1 species